rnacentral:rRNA from 1 species
AGUGAAUAGAUACCCAGGUAGUCCUAGCCGUAAACGAUACUCGCUAGGCGUCGGCCACGGUGCGACCGUUGUCGGUGCCGUAGGGAAAGCCGUGAAGCGAGCCACCUGGGAAGUACGGCCGCAAGGCUGAAACUUAAAGGAAUUGGCGGGGGAGCACCACAACGGGUGGAGCUUGCGGUUUAAAUUGGAUUCAACGCCGGAAAUCUUACCGGGACCGACAGCAACAUGAAGGCCAGGCUGAAGACUUUACCGGAUUAGCUGAGAGGUGGUGCAUGGCCGUCGUCAGUUCGUACUGUGAAAGCAUCCUGUUAAGUCAGGCAACGAGCGAGACCCACGCCCACAGUUGCCAGCGUACUCUCCGGAGUGACGGGUACACUGUGGGGGCCGCCGCUGCUAAAGCGGAGAAGGAAUGGGCAACGGUAGGUCAGUAUGCCCCGAAUAUCCCGGGCUACACGCGAGCUACAAUGGUUGGUACAAUGGGUAUCUACCCCGAAAGGGGAUGGAAAUCUCCUAAAGCCAAUCUUAGUUCGGAUUGAGGGCUGCAACUCGCCCUC